rnacentral:rRNA from 1 species
AUACGUAGGGUGCAAGCGUUAUCCGGAAUUAUUGGGCGUAAAGGGCUCGUAGGCGGUUCGUCGCGUCCGGUGUGAAAGUCCAUCGCUUAACGGUGGAUCCGCGCCGGGUACGGGCGGGCUUGAGUGCGGUAGGGGAGACUGGAAUUCCCGGUGUAACGGUGGAAUGUGUAGAUAUCGGGAAGAACACCAAUGGCGAAGGCAGGUCUCUGGGCCGUUACUGACGCUGAGGAGCGAAAGCGUGGGGAGCGAACAGGAUUAGAUACCCUGGUAGUCCACGCCGUAAACGGUGGAUGCUGGAUGUGGGGCCCGUUCCACGGGUUCCGUGUCGGAGCUAACGCGUUAAGCAUCCCGCCUGGGGAGUACGGCCGCAAGGCUAAAACUCAAAGAAAUUGACGGGGGCCCGCACAAGCGGCGGAGCAUGCGGAUUAAUUCGAUGCAACGCGAAGAACCUUACCUGGGCUUGACAUGUUCCCGACGGUCGUAGAGAUACGGCUUCCCUUCGGGGCGGGUUCACAGGUGGUGCAUGGUCGUCGUCAGCUCGUGUCGUGAGAUGUUGGGUUAAGUCCCGCAACGAGCGCAACCCUCGCCCCGUGUUGCCAGCGGAUUAUGCCGGGAACUCACGGGGGACCGCCGGGGUUAACUCGGAGGAAGGUGGGGAUGACGUCAGAUCAUCAUGCCCCUUACGUCCAAGGCUUCACGCAUGCUACAAUGGCCGGUACAACGGGAUGCGACGCGGCGACGCGGAGCGGAUCCCUGAAAACCGGUCUCAGUUCGGAUCGCAGUCUGCAACUCGACUGCGUGAAGGCGGAGUCGCUAGUAAUCGCGAAUCAGCAACGUCGCGGUGAAUGCGUUCCCGGGCCUUGUACACACCGCCCGUCAAGUCAUGAAAGUGGGCAGCACCCGAAGCCGGUGGCCUAACCCCUUGUGGGAUGGAGCCGUCUAAGGUGAGGCUCGUGAUUGGGACU